rnacentral:lncRNA from 1 species
AGUCCCCUGGGCUUCCUGCAGGGACCUGGAUUCUUAGUAUUUCAGGCUGCUGUCCCUUUUUUUUUUUCAUUUCCUUUUUGUUUUUGUUGUUGAUGUGACCGCGUGUCCACAACCCUGGGAUUCCCUCGCCCUCAGAUUCCAGAAUCCAAUUUCUUGGAUUUCAGUGUUUUUAAGGAUUCCGUGAGUCAGGAGCUUGGCCAGGCUCAGCUGGGACACUCAUCUUUGCUUCACCUCAUGUCAGCUGCAGCAUCUUAGGAAUGCAAGACAGCCUCAUUCACAUCCGGCGGCGGGUGCUGGCUGUCCACUGGGUGCCUUCGCUCUUUUUCAAGUGGUUUCUCAUCCUCUGGGGUUUCACUGUCUCCAUGUGGCCUCCCUAGCAAGUUGCUUAGAUUUCUUUACGUGGAAACUGGCUUUCUAGAGGGUAAAAAUGGAAGCUGCAAGGACUCUUAUGGCCCAGAAGUCCCAGAACGUCACUUCUUCCACAAGUCAUAGGGCCAGCCAAGAUUCAAGGGGAAGGAAACAGACUCUGUCUCUUCAUAUUUCAAUGGGACAAAUUGUUGCAGCCACCUUUGGAAACAAUCUACUGCAAUACACUACAGCAGUGGACAUCUGGGCCCUUACCAGGUGCCAGACGCCGUACUAACAGCUUUAUACGGAUGAACUCAUUUAAUCCUCCCAAACUCCAUGAGGUUUUGCAGCCCUUGCCAUGAGUGGCCAGUUGCUGAUAGCAUUGCUGCUGCCUGUUGCUAUUCUGGGAUAGGAACUGAGGAUGUGCUGUGAUUACCCAGACCAGAAGGAAGCUCAGAAGGCACUGGUCCUCUCAGGUGGCACCCAGAUCCAGUGUGAGCCAUGGGGGAUGAAGGGUGGUUAAGUGAAAAGCUUUGGAGUGCUGACAGGUGGUCCCCCUGAUAUGCCAGGAAAUUACUUCCGGGCAAGAGAAACAAAGGAGAGUCCAUCUUCUAAUGUUACUGGCGCCAUACCAACAAGGUGUCAGCUAGAAACCUCUCUCUCUCUCUUGCAAAUUCUAGCCUGCAAAACCUGAGGACUGGCCUCAGGCUAGUCAGAAAUUUGCCUGAAAACAUCAUUCCUUGGGGUGGUGGGACUUCUGGGUAAGCCAGUGUGACUUGAAUUCUUGAUUUCUUAUACUCCCUUCUAACCAACCACCUGAAUGCUGAUCUCUACUAGCUGUCUGUGUGCCUUGCAUUUCAAUCAGCAGCCUUACAAAUGAUGAUGAGGAGAAGGAGGAGGAUGAGGACGAUAGCCAACAUUUACUGUUCUUUUGCUACUGUCCUAAGUACUUUACAAAUACCAGAUAAUUUUUUCUUCAUAACACUGUCAUUACUCCCAUUUUACAGAUGAAGAAAACAAAGCUUAAAUAGAUCACAUGAUUUGGUCAAGGUCACUCAUGUCACAGAGCCUGAAUCCAAAUCCAGUGAAGCCUCCAGAGCCUAGUUUCUACCCAUGACCCUGUGUUGCCUAUUGAUGGUACAGUGUAGGUUUUUUCCUUCUUCCUUUUUCUUUUUUUGAAAGUCUUUAUUGAAUUAUAAUUGGCAUACCAUUAACUGCAAAUAUUUGAAAAAUACAAUUUUAUGAGCUCUGACAUACAUACACCCAUAAAACCAUUGUUACAAUCAAGAUAAUGAAUAUGUCCGUCAUUCCCCAAAAGCUUCCCUGUGCCCCUUGGUAAUCCACCCCUCACUCCCCACCCCAUUCUGUUCCUAGGCAACCAAUCAUCUGUUUUCUGUCAGAUUAAUUUGCAUUUUCUAGAGUUUUAUAUAUGGAAGCAGACAGCAUGUACUCUUUUUUUGUCUGGCUUCUUUCACUCAGCAUAAUUAUUUUUAGGUUCAUCUAUAUUGGUGCACGUAUCAACAAUUCAUUCUUUUCUAUUCCUGAGUACUAUUCCAUUAUAUAGGUGUACUAAAUUUGUUUAUUCAACUCUUGAUGGACAUUGAGUUGUUUACAGUUUUUGGCUAUUACAAAUAAAGCUGCUAUGAACCUUC